rnacentral:rRNA from 1 species
UACGUAGGCAGCGAGCGUUGUUCGGAGUUACUGGGCGUAAAGGGUGUGUAGGCGGUUUUCUAAGUUUGGUGUGAAAUCUCCCGGCUCAACCGGGAGGGUGCGCCGAAAACUGGGAGACUAGAGUGCGGGAUGGGAGAGUAGAAUUCCUGGUGUAGCGGUGAAAUGCGUAGAUAUCUGGAGGAACACCGGUGGCGAAGGCGGCAUCCUGGACCGGUAUUGACGCUGAGGCGCGAAAGCCAGGGGAGCAAACGGG